rnacentral:rRNA from 1 species
GGUUGCGAUCAUACCAGCACUAAUGCACCGGAUCCCAUCAGAACUCCGCAGUUAAGCGUGCUUGGGUGAGAGUAGUGCUAGGAUGGGUGACCCCCUGGGAAGUCCUCGUGUUGCAACCC